rnacentral:rRNA from 1 species
AUUGAACGCUGGCGGCAGGCUUAACACAUGCAAGUCGAACGAGUGGCGGACGGGUGAGUAAUGCUUGGGAAUCUAGCUUAUGGAGGGGGAUAAAUAUGGGCAACUGUAGCUAAUACCGCGUACCAUAGGAUGAGCCCAAGUGGGAGUAGGUAGUUGGUGAGGUAAAGGCUAACCAACCCGACGAUCUCUAGCUGGUCUGAGAGGAUGAACAGCCACACGGGGACUGAGACACGGCCCAGACUCCUACGUGAGGCAGCAGUGGGGAAUAUUGCGCAAUGGGGGCAACCUGACGCAGCCAUGCCGCGUGAAUGAAGAAGGCCUUCGGGUUGUAAAGUUCUUUCGGUAGCGAGGCGUUAACUACAGAAGAAGCACCGGCUAACUCCGUGCCAGCAGCCGCGGUAAUUC